rnacentral:rRNA from 1 species
CCUACGGGAGGCAGCAGUGGGGAAUAUUGGGCAAUGGGCGCAAGCCUGACCCAGCAACGCCGCGUGAAGGAAGAAGGUUCUCGGGUUGUAAACUUCUUUUAAGAGGGAAGAGCAGAAGACGGUACCUCUUGAAUAAGCCACGGCUAACUACGUGCCAGCAGCCGCGGUAAUACGUAGGUGGCCAGUGUUGUCCGGAUUUACUGGGUGUAAAGGGCGUGCAGCCGGGAAGACAAGUCAGAUGUGAAAUCCCGCGGCUCAACCGCGGAACUGCAUUUGAAACUGUUAGUCUUGAGUACCGGAGAGGUCUUCGGAAUGCGUGGUGUAGCGGUGAAAUGCGUAGAUAUAAGGAAGAACACCAGUGGCGAAGGCGGAUGGCUGGACGGCAACUGACGGUGAGGCGCGAAAGCGUGGGGAGCGAACAGGAUUAGAUACCCCGGUAGUC